rnacentral:rRNA from 1 species
GCUUGCGGUCGGUUUACAGGUGGUGCAUGGUUGUCGUCAGCUCGUGUCGUGAGAUGUUGGGUUAAGUCCCGCAACGAGCGCAACCCUCGUUCUAUGUUGCCAGCACGUGAUGGUGGGGACUCAUAGGAGACUGCCGGGGUCAACUCGGAGGAAGGUGGGGACGACGUCAAAUCAUCAUGCCCCUUAUGUCUUGGGCUUCACGCAUGCUACAAUGGCCGGUACAAAGGGUUGCGAUACUGUGAGGUGGAGCUAAUCCCAAAAAGCCGGUCUCAGUUCGGAUUGGGGUCUGCAACUCGACCCCAUGAAGUCGGAGUCGCUAGUAAUCGCAGAUCAGCAACGCUGCGGUGAAUACGUUCCCGGGCCUUGUACACACCGCCCGUCAAGUCACGAAAGUUGGU